UGGAAGGUGUGCAGAAGAAAGUGGGGUAC
rnacentral:piRNA from 1 species